GUCCGAAACAGCCUGUUCCCUUGCACAUGCCCCCUGGCUCCUCCUCCUUUGCUCUAGCCCAGCACGGGGCCGAAGGUUACCGCCUUUCUGUGUCCUUGACAGGCAGAAAUCCAACAGGUAUAUACACCCCACUUGCUUUCCUACUAUCAGAUCCUCUGAAGAUGCCAGCCACAGAUGCAGGCGAAACGUCAGGAGAGAAUGCUGCUAGAACACGGCCAUACAGCCCAGAAACCACACGGCACCCCAGUGAUUCCGGCCAUGAAAGCCUUCGACAAUGCAUUAACGGUUCAAUUAAUUAAAGCAUUUAUACUCCACCUUUCCACAGAGAAUAAGAGUUCUGGAUUCACCCAUCCAGCGAGGCUCACGGCAGAACGGGGAUUUGAACCUGGAAUUCCCCGAUUCUAGUCUUGUCUUCUAAACAUGGCGCCUCUCUGAUGGUCUCUAAUCUGCUGGAAUUACCACUGCUAAUUAUACUUGGUCAUAGUAUUUUCAAGGAUUCAGUGCUUAUAUCUCAGUAAUCCAUAGUAGACAGUUAUAAAGUUGAUCCAGCCAUUAAAGUGUAUAAUGGAAACGCAGAA